GAUGAAGAACGUAGCGAAAUGCGACAAAUAAUGUGAAUUGCAGAAUUCAGUGAAUCAUCGAAUCUUUGAACGCACAUUGCGCCCCCUGGUAUUCCGGGGGGCAUGCCUGUCCGAGCGUCAUUACAACCCUCAAGCUCAGCUUGGUGUUGGGCCCCGCCGCCCCGGCGGGCCCUAAAGUCAGUGGCGGUGCCGUCCGGCUCCGAGCGUAGUAAUUCUUCUCGCUCUGGAGGUCCGGUCGUGUGCUCGCCAGCAACCCCCAAUUUUUUUCAGGUUGACCUCGGAUCAGGUAGGGAUACCCGCUGAACUUAAGCAUAUCAAUAAGCGGAGGA
rnacentral:misc_RNA from 1 species